rnacentral:rRNA from 1 species
UACGGAGGGGGCUAGCGUUGUUCGGAAUUACUGGGCGUAAAGCGCACGUAGGCGGCUUUGUAAGUUAGAGGUGAAAGCCCGGGGCUCAACUCCGGAAUUGCCUUUAAGACUGCAUCGCUAGAAUUGUGGAGAGGUAAGUGGAAUUCCGAGUGUAGAGGUGAAAUUCGUAGAUAUUCGGAAGAACACCAGUGGCGAAGGCGACUAACUGGACAAGUAUUGACGCUGAGGUACGAAAGCAUGGGGAGCAAACAGG